UGNGCAGCGCUGCUUCAACUCCUAUGGGAC
rnacentral:piRNA from 1 species